AGAGUUUGAUCCUGGCUCAGAACGUACGCUGGCGGCACGCCUUAUACAUGCAAGUCGAACGCAGUAGCAAUACUGAGUGGCAGACGGGUGAGUAUAAUGUGGGAAUCUGCCUUUUGGUUUGGAAUAACUCGGGGAAACCUGUGCUAAUACCGGAUAAGUCUUUACGGAGAAAGCUUUAUGCACCAUUGGAUGAGCCUGCACUUGAUUAGUUUGUUGGUGGGGUAAUGGCCUACCAAGACUGUGAUCAAUAGCUGAUUUGAGAGGAUGAUCAGCCACAUUGGGACUGAGACACGGCCCAAACUCCUACGGGAGGCAGCAGUGGGGAAUCUUGCACAAUGGAGGAAACUCUGAUGCAGCGAUGCCGCGUGAGUGAAGAAGGCCUUUGGGUUGUAAAGCUCUUUCGUCGGGGAAGAAAAUGACUGUACCCGAAUAAGAAGGUCCGGCUAACUUCGUGCCAG
rnacentral:rRNA from 1 species